rnacentral:rRNA from 1 species
CCUACGGGAGGCAGCAGUAGGGAAUCUUCCACAAUGGGCGAAAGCCUGAUGGAGCAACGCCGCGUGAGUGAUGAAGGCCUUCGGGUUGUAAAACUCUGUCAUUCGGGACGAACCGGAGUCUGAGGAAAUGCAGACUCUCUGACGGUACCGGAGGAGGAAGCCCCGGCUAACUACGUGCCAGCAGCCGCGGUAAUACGUAGGGGGCAAGCGUUGUCCGGAUUCACUGGGCGUAAAGCGCGCGCAGGCGGUGAUGUAAGUCUGAGGUGAAAACCCGAAGCUCAACUUCGGGACUGCCUUGGAUACUGCGUCACUUGAGGAUAGGAGAGGCAAGGGGAAUUCCACGUGUAGCGGUGAAAUGCGUAGAGAUGUGGAGGAACACCUGUGGCGAAGGCGCCUUGCUGGCCUAUUUCUGACGCUGAGGCGCGAAAGCGUGGGGAGCAAACAGGAUUAGAUACCCUGGUAGUCCACGCUGUAAACGAUGAGUGCUAGGUGUAGGUGGGCUCAUACCACUCUGUGCGACGACGUACGCAUAAGACACCUCCGCCCGUCGGGGUAGGUACGGGUCCGGUCGACGACGUACGAAACGUACGAAACGGAAAGUUAGGUUACGGCGUUGGAGGACGUUGGCCGACGGGACGACCGACGAGGGGAGGUUAGGG